CGGGCGCGUCGUGCGUGGCGGCGGCGCCGACCGUGCCGCGGUCGUCGAGCAGCAGGGCCUGCUCGAAGUGGAGCUCGGCCACCUCGGCGGCCGCCC
rnacentral:tRNA from 1 species